GGCUAUUUUGUGUGUUCCCAGCUGACAGCCCACAUUUCUCCGCCGCACGCCUUGGCCACAGGACACAGAGCACUAAAAGGACAAGAGGCCAUUUUGGAUAACACCUCAAGGCUCAACAUGGAAGGAAGGUAGCAAUGGAGAAAACAAUGUGGACAGCACGACAGCAGGAAUCCUGUCUAGUACCUUGGGUCACUCAAGAACGACAGUAAAUCCUGGUAAUUUAGGUCAAAAAUGAAGCCCAUGAACCUGAAAUUACCAUGAAAUUCUGAUUUACAGAAGUCCUACUAUGAAUUAGUCAGGAUUCCUUUUGGACAUCUCACUUCAUGCAAUCGCUGAUCAAGACAUUUCUUCAACAAACUACCUCACAAUUCACUCUUUUGGAUAAAGGUGUGUUUCCAAAUUCAGCUGUGCCCCAUUUCCUAGUGAAUUGAUUUAAGGAAACUCUUCUACCAUUUUUCAGAGGAGAAGCUCUCAUUUUCCCAGUCCAUUGGAAAGGAGGUGAAAAAGGCAUGUUAGAAACUGAAAGUGGCUAGAUGUCUGUUGGGAACAUAACAGCACAAUGAAAAUAAUUAAGUUAUCAACAACAUCACUGAUAAUAAUUCAUCUGAGGGGCACCACUGGUGCAACCAACAUCUAUUGCCCAUGAAAUGAAGACAGAUGAAGUUGAUACGAAAUAUGAAGCCUUAAAAAUCUUUUAAAUAUCUGGAUUAGUUGCAUCCCACCCAUUCCUAUGUGUGGUUUUCUUAUUUGGGAACUUCAAUGGAACUGACUUGGGAAACAGGAUGCAAUACUACACAUAUUAUUUGCCUCAAAUUAAGAUCUAAAACAGAUAAGGAAAUUCGCAAGGUAUCUAAUCUGAUAGCAAACACUUUUCAUUUCAUGCUUUCUAAUUUACCAAUGAAGAGAAGCAGCUGCUUGUGGAAAUUUUCCUAUCUAACAGGUUUAUUAGUGGUUCUAUUAUGAUCUCAUAAAGAAGUUAUCAUCUUGAGAAUCAAACACAGGUUUCAGCUCUUCUAUUCUGAGGGAAAUUUCCAUCUGAUUUUUUCCAGUCCUUUCCCAGGCACUGAUUUUUGCAUCAAUGUGCAUCACAGAUAUAAUAGUUAAAUUUAGAGUAUCACCUAGUACAUAUUAUUUAUUGGCUACAUAUCUGAGGGUUCUUGCUCUGGGGAAUAUUUAAUUCCUUAUAUUUACAGCCAAAAUAAUCUCCUAGUUUGCCAGUAGGACUCUGACUUUUUCCUCUGGGGAAACAAUCCAACUUGUUUAAGAGAAUGAUUUCCCCCCAGCUUUGAGCAAGCAACACCCUCAAACAAAGUAAUCUCUGCUUGUUACAUAGAAACACCAAGGUCACUAUCUCAAAUGCCUGGGCUUUUGUUUCUGCGAGGUCAUUCAAAGGGAAUGUUUAAUGUGGAGCUUUGUUCAGAUGCUGUCUUUACUUUUUAGACGAAGGUCUAAGAGUUUAAAAUCCUUGCAUUUCAACACAUCUGGUGGAAACAGAACUGGCUCCCUCUCUAGGGGUAGCUCUGGAUGUGGUGUGGAUUUGUAUCUCACUGUUCCUGGUGUGCUGUCCCUGGCAUUAGGGUUGUCCUGCAUCGGUUCUUUCCCUUAUACUGAGGGGCUGGGUCUCUCAGUCAACCGAGAAGCCAGCAAACAACCCCAGUGUGUCUGCCUGGAUGAGAAGGGGUGAAGACCUAGAAAGAAUGAGAUCCCCAGCACUGCCGAGGCUGCUGAGAACCUGGACAUCCAAAUGGAGAUGGGAGGACCACACGGAAUUGAAACAUAAAGGCAGACCUCAUCUGGAAAGUAUGAUAUCAGAAAGGAGGCAAUGUUAAUGCCGCCCAUGGUUCAGAACUGCCUUUGCCAGUUAUAACGACAAGUGAAGUUUCAAGAAAGAACCACCUGGAAUCUGACCCCCAGUGCUAAUGCUGAACUGAUUCGGCAGUUAUUUAAAUUCAAAGAGGGCACCCCAAGAGCACUCUUUCAGUUGGAGCAGAGCUAUUAGAAAUCACACCAUGAGCGCUUACUGGCCAGGAGAUGGAUCAUCUAAGAUGUUCUCUGUGCCACGGAUCUUGGAGCUGCACCUGCCAUUCUGAUCAUAAAUACGUGUGUCUGUGUGGCAUGAGGGUCUGAGGUUGGCAAAUACAUCUGCUAAAGCAGAAAAGAUUUGAAAAGUGGAAAAGGAGAGGCACAGCAAUGAAGACCUCAACUACAGUGAAACAAACAGGCUCUUCUGGACAGCACUUCCUCCCUGACAUCACAGUUGUGACCUGCCACUGCUAAGGGGUUCCCAGACACUUCACAGCUGAUUAAGAGACAACCAAGGAGAAGGAAAUCAUGAUUUCACUAAGAAAGGGCCAACUGCAAUGCAGGAAUAGGGCUCAGGGAAUAUGAAAGUUGCCUUCUUGAAACUUCUCCUUCAAAGAGGGAAUGGUCUCUUGGAAUUCAAGCUUCUACAAGGCGGCUACCUGGCGUUGUCCAUUUUUGCCCUCUCCUAAAAAGCAUCAUUACACCUUGCCCUUUUAACCCAUAGAACACAUAAACAUUCUUUCUCCUUAACUGAACUUACUGCCAGGAUGAACUUGAACACUGAGAUGCAAAAGAGGAGAGUUUGUUUUAACAGCUGCUUUUAUGUGGAGGCCCUGGAGUUACUACUCUAAAGACAGCUGGUUCUAAAAGCCUCUUUUUUUUUUUUUUUUUUUUUAGGUUUGACCACUGUAUUUUUUUUUUUUUUAACAUCUUUAUUGGAG